AUACGGAGGGUGCAAGCGUUAUCCGGAUUCAUUGGGUUUAAAGGGUGCGCAGGCGGAAUGAUAAGUCAGUGGUGAAAUCCUACAGCUUAACUGUAGAACUGCCAUUGAUACUGUCAUUCUUGAGUACACUUGAAGUGGGCGGAAUGUAUCAUGUAGCGGUGAAAUGCAUAGAUAUGAUACAGAACUCCGAUAGCGAAGGCAGCUCACUAAAUUGUAACUGACGCUCAGGCACGAAAGCGUGGGGAGCAAACAGGAUUAGAAACCCCGGUAGUCC
rnacentral:rRNA from 1 species